AUUGAACGCUGGCGGCAUGCCUUACACAUGCAAGUCGAACGGUAACAGGUCCUCGGAUGCUGACGAGUGGCGAACGGGUGAGUAAUGCAUCGGAACGUGCCCAGUUGUGGGGGAUAACUGCUCGAAAGAGCAGCUAAUACCGCAUACGACCUGAGGGUGAAAGCGGGGGAUCGCAAGACCUCGCGCAAUUGGAGCGGCCGAUGUCAGAUUAGGUAGUUGGUGGGGUAAAGGCCUACCAAGCCGACGAUCUGUAGUUGGUCUGAGAGGACGACCAGCCACACUGGGACUGAGACACGGCCCAGACUCCUACGGGAGGCAGCAGUGGGGAAUUUUGGACAAUGGGCGCAAGCCUGAUCCAGCCAUGCCGCGUGUGUGAAGAAGGUCUUCGGAUUGUAAAGCACUUUAAGUUGGGAGGAAGGGUAUUCACCUAAUACGUGGGUACUUUGACGUUACCAACAGAAUAAGCACCGGCUAACUCUGUGCCAGCCGCCGCCGUAAGAC
rnacentral:rRNA from 1 species